UACAGGGGUGUCUAACGUUGUCCGGAAUUAUUGGGCGUAAAGGGCUCGUAGGCGGUCUGUUGCGUCGGGAGUGAAAACUCAGGGCUUAACCCUGAGCCUGCUUCCGAUACGGGCAGACUAGAGGUAUGCAGGGGAGAACGGAAUUCCUGGUGUAGCGGUGAAAUGCGCAGAUAUCAGGAGGAACACCGGUGGCGAAGGCGGUUCUCUGGGCAUUACCUGACGCUGAGGAGCGAAAGUGUGGGGAGCGAACAGG
rnacentral:rRNA from 1 species